UGGAAGUGAGGCUGAGGGGCCAAAGCAAACGCUUAUUGGCAUCGUGUUGGCAUACGCUUUGGCCCCUCAGCCUCACUUCCA